ensembl:processed_transcript si:ch211-214p16.2 si:ch211-214p16.2
ACACUCACCCUCGGUCCAGAACUGAACCUUACUGGAAGAACACAACACAGCAUUAACCAUGAAUAAAUUAUGGAUUUUGUGUUUCGUGGUGCUCAUCAUGAGCAAACCAUUUUCAACUGAGGAGAGUCAGAAGUCAAGUGAAAACACUGUCCCAUCGCCCAGCGCAUCUACUAACUCCAGUGCUGUAGGACUGAGUCCUGUGCCCAAAACACUGUACCUUCUGUUCCCGGCUGCCACCCUGGGCUUCAUCCACAGCAGAUCCUGAACAUUCACCAAAGGCGAGCAUCAAUGUGGGAGUGGCAGAAUAGAUAGUCAUUGACAGACAGAGCACAAAUCUGCAAGACAGAACACAGCACAGCACAGCUCAAAGGAUUUUUAACUAAUGAAAAUAAGAACUCCUCCAAGAAGGAUUGUCUGGUUACGCUCAGUGGCAACUUCUCUUGGAAGAGCCCCUUUCUUCUAUUUGCUUCAUGUGAAUAAAGUUUAGCAGGGUAAACAACUCCACUACUUAAAUCAUGCGUUUGAAAGAUUCUAUUUCUCUAAUGGCAUUAUGUGUAUUAAUGUAAUUGACUGGCAAGUGUGUCUGUAUGCAUGAUUAAACUGCUAAAUGCC